rnacentral:rRNA from 1 species
CGGACGGGUGAGUAAUGUCUGGGAAACUGCCUGAUGGAGGGGGAUAACUACUGGAAACGGUAGCUAAUACCGCAUAACGUCGCAAGACCAAAGAGGGGGACCUUCGGGCCUCUUGCCAUCAGAUGUGCCCAGAUGGGAUUAGCUAGUAGGUGGGGUAACGGCUCACCUAGGCGACGAUCCCUAGCUGGUCUGAGAGGAUGACCAGCCACACUGGAACUGAGACACGGUCCAGACUCCUACGGGAGGCAGCCAUG